AACGAACGCUGGCGGCAGGCUUAACACAUGCAAGUCGAGCGCCCCGCAAGGGGAGCGGCAGACGGGUGAGUAACGCGUGGGAACGCACCCUUUGCUACGGAAUAGCUCCGGGAAACUGGAAUGAAUACCGGAUGUGCCCUACGGGGGAAAGAUUUAUCGGCAAAGGAUCGGCCCGCGUUGGAUUAGCUAGUUGGUGGGGUAAUGGCCUACCAAGGCGACGAUCCAUAGAUGGUCUGAGAGGAUGAUCAGCCACAUUGGGACUGAGACACGGCCCAAACUCCUACGGGAGGCAGCAGUGGGGAAUAUUGGACAAUGGGCGCAAGCCUGAUCCAGCCAUGCCGCGUGAGUGAUGAAGGCCUUAGGGUUGUAAAGCUCUUUCACCGGAGAAGAUAAUGACGGUAUCCGGAGAAGAAGCCCCGGCUAACUUCGUGCCAGCAGCCGCGGUAAAAC
rnacentral:rRNA from 1 species